rnacentral:lncRNA from 1 species
AUGAGAGGAAUUUGGAUUUUAUCCCUAAGAGAGACAUGGAGGAGACGGGGAAAGGCUUUCUGAAUAAUAUGAACCAAAGCUCCAUCCAUCAAUCCUGCUGUGCCCCAUGAAGACUUUAACCCUUAGAAUAAGAAUUGCCUGCCCCAUUUCUACAAAAUGAGUGUGUUCUUUGAGCAGAAGAGGAGAGAAGAGAAGAAAUGGAACAAUCUUUGCUUUGGAAAUUUAGCUGACUGGCCUCAUUUGGAAUAAGAGCGCCUUCAAUCCCUGGCCGCAGGCGGGCAGUGGAGCCAACAGUAACACCGGAUGCUGGGAUGCUGGGAGGAGGUCUGGAAGCAUCAGAGGAGAUGCCAGGGAACUUGGAGUCCAGAAGGCGGUAGUGGGUUCCUCUCUGGGGAUGAGUCCCAGUUUCCUCAACUUUGUCCAGACCCCUUGUCCUCAGGCUAAAACCUACUAUUUAUUGGAUAGAGCAUUAUCCUGGAAGCACUAAGAGAUUGGAGGAGAAGGUCCUGAGAAGAGCCAGAGGCCGGGUCUGCUUUGUGUCCUCGGCACCUACUUUCAGUCCAUGACACAUGAAAAGAGCUGGAGUCAGAAGGACCAGGUAACCCUCCUACCAAGGGCCUGGCCUUGCCUUUCUGGUGACUCAGGGGUGAGGCUUGAACUGCUUAUGGAGCUGACCCACUACAGACUGGUGCCAUCUGUGAUGGAAUGUUAAGAAAGGGAGUUGGUAGAAUGAAUCCUUCUCUUUAGCAAAAACGUUUCCUGCUCUGGCAAUGCUGCGUUACAACGGUGAGAAAAAGACAGAAUGAGAACAAACUACCUACUAAACAGAGCCUGCAUUAUAUCUGGGAUCCCGAGCUUUCUAAGUGAUGGCAAGUCUUAGCUCUGUUCUGAUCCUACCAAGAGGGGCUGGAGAGCAGAGAACAGAGCUUCUGCUCUGAGUGUGUGGUUCCAAAGAAAGAAUUUCUGGUCCUGCCCGAAGUCAGAAGCUUUAAGUCGUCCAUUUCUUCCUCCACCGCCUUUACCUGCUUCCUCUUUUGUCUUAUUGCAGAAAGUGCUGUUACUUUUGGGGGGCUGAAGGUCCCCCAAACACCACUUUCCAUAGGCCUGCGCUGCCCCCAUUGUCUAGUGUGAGUCCUAGCCUUGGCUUUUCCUGUGAGAGAUUGGUUGGUGAACAUCAGGGAUUGAGUGCUCUUACAGCAAGGAUCUCCCUGGAGUCCUCAGCCAUCUCCUGGGACCCUGGCUUGCAAGAGAAGCUUCUGUCUUGGCUUCCCAGGUACUCCCCUCUCUCUCAUGCACACACACGCACACUUGUUAGAAUUAAUAAACAGAUUCUGUAAAACUGUAGCCCACAGGGCCAGCAAGAUGGCUCCAUGGGUGGAAGCUCGGCCCAUGAAACCCUAUGCCUGAGCUUGUCCCUGGAACCACAAGGCAGAAGGAGAGAACAGACUCUGUUAGUUUCCCUCUGAUCUCCACACACACACACACACAUACACACACUGUGGUGUUCUCCCCUCCCCCACCCUCCCUUACCACCAAAAACCAAAUGCAAAAUAAAAAUCUUUAAUCAUAGGAUGCAAUGUCAACAACAAAAGUCUGUACACUUUUAUAUACAAAUAAUGUUCUAGCAUUUCUAUAUACAAAUGAUGACCUAGAAAUCAACAAUCCUAUUUGCGAUAACUUAAAAAUAAGAUUCUUGGGUCUAGAGAGAUGGCUCAGCAGUUUAGAGGACCUGUUGCUCUUAUAGACGACCCGGGUUUGACUCCCAAAGCCCACAUAGCAACUCACAACCAUCUGUAACUCCCAUUCCAGGGCAUCAGCACCUUCUCUGUCUUCCGACUUCCAAGGGCACUGGGUAUGCAGGCGGUGCACAUGCACAGAUACAGGCAAAACAUUCAUACAUAUAAAAUUAAUUAAAUAAAUCUUUAGCAGUUACAAAAUAAAAUUCUUAGCCAAUAAAGCUA